GGAUCUUGAAUCACUAAUGAUCAAUGGAGGGAUGUUGAUUUUAGUGGGAGUAUAUUUCUAUUAAAGUGUUUAAUAUGAAUUACUUUUCAUGAAUACUUGUCUUAGCGUUUUUGCAUUUUCUGUUGUAGAUCAAUGGUACCACCUCAAUUGUCCAGUUUUGCUUUGAGAUCUAUAACAUCCCAAUUUUCAAAACUCUCCAUAUGCAUUGCAUUUCAUAAGCAUCAUACCACCCUUGCAUUUAACCACAUUUUAAAAAAAACCUAAAAUUAACCCAGAAAACCCCUUCUACAAAAGUACUUUUAUUUUUGGCCCUUGUUCUUGCUUUUGAAUAAUUGCAUUUUAACCCAUAAGGGUUUCGCCGUAAAAAGGGAUUUAAUGCAUAUAUAUAGCUAUCCCAUAAUUUGGCUUUUGAAAUUAUUUUGAAAAACAAAUUAUAUUGAUAGUCUAAAAGGCCUUAAAGGCUAAAUUUAUAGGCAAAGGUAUUUUUAAAUAUUUUAUUUUGAGGGAAUUCUUGUCCCAAAAGUUAAAUCAUAUGAAAAUAUGAUUUUAUAAAUUUUUGUUGCAACUUAUUUGGAGUGAUUUGGAGCUUUGAAUCAAUUUUGGUGUUCAAAAACGGAAAAUAGAAAAAGAAAAAGGAAAAGAAGAAGAAAAAAAGAAAACCGCGGCCGGCACGACCAAAUGGGCCGAACCGGCCUGCUAACUGACCGAACCGGACCAAACCGGCCCAGCCCCGCGUGCCCGAGCCGCCUGUGCCGCUGACAUGUGGGCCCCGCCCAUCAUCUUCUCCAACCGCCCGGCCGAAAACUCCGGCCACAACCCGCGAGCACGCCCACGACUCCG
rnacentral:lncRNA from 1 species